CUUGCUUCUCUUGAGAGCGGCGGACGGGUGAGUAAUGCCUAGGAAUCUGUCUGGUAGUGGGGGAUAACGUCCGGAAACGGACGCUAAUACCGCAUACGUCCUACGGGAGAAAGCAGGGGACCUUCGGGCCUUGCGCUAUCAGAUGAGCCUAGGUCGGAUUAGCUAGUUGGUGGGGUAAUGGCUCACCAAGGCGACGAUCCGUAACUGGUCUGAGAGGAUGAUCAGUCACACUGGAACUGAGACACGGUCCAGACUCCUACGGGAGGCAGCAGUGGGGAAUAUUGGACAAUGGGCGAAAGCCUGAUCCAGCCAUGCCGCGUGUGUGAAGAAGGUCUUCGGAUUGUAAAGCACUUUAAGUUGGGAGGAAGGGCAGUAAAUUAAUACUUUGCUGUUUUGACGUUACCGACAGAAUAAGCACCGGCUAACUCUGUGCCAGCAGCCGCGGUAAUACAGAGGGUGCAAGCGUUAAUCGGAAUUACUGGGCGUAAAGCGCGCGUAGGUGGUUCGUUAAGUUGGAUGUGAAAUCCCCGGGCUCAACCUGGGAACUGCAUUCAAAACUGACGAGCUAGAGUAUGGUAGAGGGUGGUGGAAUUUCCUGUGUAGCGGUGAAAUGCGUAGAUAUAGGAAGGAACACCAGUGGCGAA
rnacentral:rRNA from 1 species